rnacentral:rRNA from 1 species
UUAAGCAUAUCAAUAAGCGGAGGAAAAGAAACCAACUGGGAUUGCGUUAGUAACGGCGAGUGAAGCGGCAAUAGCUCAAAUUUGAAAGCUGGCCCCUUCGGGGUCCGCGUUGUAAUUUGUAGAGGAUGAUUCGGCGAGGGCUCCCGUCUAAGUCCCCUGGAACGGGGCGUCAUAGAGGGUGAGAAUCCCGUAUGUGAUGGGUUGCCUUAGCCAUGUGAAUCUCCUUCGACGAGUCGAGUUGUUUGGGAAUGCAGCUCUAAAUGGGAGGUAAAUUUCUUCUAAAGCUAAAUACCGGCCAGAGACCGAUAGCGCACAAGUAGAGUGAUCGAAAGAUGAAAAGCACUUUGGAAAGAGAGUUAAAAAGUACGUGAAAUUGUUGAAAGGGAAGCGCUUGCAGCCAGACUUGUCCGCAGUUGCUCAGCCGGUCUCCUGACCGGCGUACUCUUCUGCGGCCAGGCCAGCAUCAGUUCGGGCGGUCGGAUAAAGACCUCGGGAAUGUAGCUCCUCUCGGGGAGUGUUAUAGCCCGGGGUGGAAUGCGGCCAGCCUGGACUGAGGAUCUCGCUUCGGCUAGGAUGCUGGCGUAAUGGCUGU